UACGUAGGUGGCAAGCGUUGUCCGGAAUUAUUGGGCGUAAAGCGCACGUAGGUGGUUUGCUAAGCCAGCUGUGAAAUCCCCGGGCUCAACCUGGGCACUGCAGUUGGAACUGGCAAGCUAGAGUAGGGUAGAGGGGUGUGGAAUUCCAGGUGUAGCGGUGAAAUGCGUAGAUAUCUGGAGGAACAUCAGUGGCGAAGGCGACACCCUGGACUCAUACUGACACUGAGGUGCGAAAGCGUGGGGAGCAAACAGG
rnacentral:rRNA from 1 species